rnacentral:rRNA from 1 species
AUUGAACGCUGGCGGCAGGCCUAACACAUGCAAGUCGAACGGUAACAGGAAGAAGCUUGCUUCUUUGCUGACGAGUGGCGGACGUGUGAGUAAUGUCUGGGAAACUGCCUGAUGGAGGGGGAUGACUACUGGAAACGGUAGCUAAUACCGCAUAACGUCGCAAGAACAAAAAGGGGGACCUUCGGGCCUCUUGCCAUCGGAUGUGCCCAGAUGGGAUUAGCUAGUAGGUGGGGUAACGGCUCACCUAGGCGACGAUCCCUAGCUGGUCUGAGAGGGUGACCAGCCACACUGGAACUGAGACACGGUCCAGACUCCUACGGGAGGCAGCAGUGGGGAAUAUUGCACAUAGGGCGCAAGCCUGAUGCAGCCAUGCCGCGUGUAUGAAGAAGGCCUUCGGGUUGUAAAGUACGUUCAGCGGGGAGGAAGGGAGUAAAGUUAAUACCUUUGCUCAUUGACGUUACCCGCAGAAGAAGCACCGGCUAACUCCGUG